rnacentral:rRNA from 1 species
GACGAACGCUGGCGGCGUGCUUAACACAUGCAAGUCGAACGGAAAGGCCCUGCUUUUGUGGGGUGCUCGAGUGGCGAACGGGUGAGUAACACGUGAGUAACCUGCCCUUGACUUUGGGAUAACUUCAGGAAACUGGGGCUAAUACCGGAUAGGAGCUCCUGCUGCAUGGUGGGGGUUGGAAAGUUUCGGCGGUUGGGGAUGGACUCGCGGCUUACCGGCUUGUUGGUGGGGUAGUGGCUUACCAAGGCUUUGACGGGUAGCCGGCCUGAGAGGGUGGCCGGCCACAUUGGGCCUGAGAUACGGCCCAGACUCCUACGGGAGGCAGCAGUGGGGAAUAUUGCACAAUGGGCGGAAGCCUGAUGCAGCGACGCCGCGUGCGGGAUGACGGCCUUCGGGUUGUAAACCGCUUUCGCCUGUGACGAAGCGUGAGUGACGGUAAUGGGUAAAGAAGCACCGGCUAACUACGUG